rnacentral:miRNA from 1 species
CGAGAAACGUCGCCGGUCGUA